UACGGAGGGGGCUAGCGUUGUUCGGAAUUACUGGGCGUAAAGCGCACGUAGGCGGCUUUGUAAGUUAGAGGUGAAAGCCCGGGGCUCAACUCCGGAAUUGCCUUUAAGACUGCAUAGCUAGAAUCAUGGAGAGGUGAGUGGAAUUCCGAGUGUAGAGGUGAAAUUCGUAGAUAUUCGGAAGAACACCAGUGGCGAAGGCGGCUCACUGGCCCGAUACUGACGCUGAGGCACGAAAGCGUGGGGAGCAAACAGG
rnacentral:rRNA from 1 species